GGGUGCCUAUACUGCAAGUCGACGAGUUCUGAUUAUUGAAAGGUGCUUGCAUCUUGAUUUAAUUUUGAACGAGUGGCGGACGGGUGAGUAACACGUGGGUAACCUGCCCUUAAGUGGGGGAUAACAUUUGGAAACAGAUGCUAAUACCGCAUAAAUCCAAGAACCGCAUGGUUCUUGGCUGAAAGAUGGCGUAAGCUAUCGCUUUUGGAUGGACCCGCGGCGUAUUAGCUAGUUGGUGAGGUAACGGCUCACCAAGGCAAUGAUACGUAGCCGAACUGAGAGGUUGAUCGGCCACAUUGGGACUGAGACACGGCCCAAACUCCUACGGGAGGCAGCAGUAGGGAAUCUUCCACAAUGGACGCAAGUCUGAUGGAGCAACGCCGCGUGAGUGAAGAAGGCUUUCGGGUCGUAAAACUCUGUUGUUGGAGAAGAAUGGUCGGCAGAGUAACUGUUGUCGGCGUGACGGUAUCCAACCAGAAAGCCACGGCUAACUACGUGCCAGCAGCCGCGGUAAUACGUAGGUGGCAAGCGUUAUCCGGAUUUAUUGGGCGUAAAGCGAGCGCAGGCGGUUUUUUAAGUCUGAUGUGAAAGCCCUCGGCUUAACCGAGGAAGUGCAUCGGAAACUGGGAAACUUGAGUGCAGAAGAGGACAGUGGAACUCCAUGUGUAGCGGUGAAAUGCGUAGAUAUAUGGAAGAACACCAGUGGCGAAGGCGGCUGUCUGGUCUGUAACUGACGCUGAGGCUCGAAAGCAUGGGUAGCGAACAGGAUUAGAUACCCUGGUAGUCCAUGCCGUAAACGAUGAAUGCUAGGUGUUGGAGGGUUUCCGCCCUUCAGUGCCGCAGCUAACGCAUUAAGCAUUCCGCCUGGGGAGUACGACCGCAAGGUUGAAACUCAAAGGAAUUGACGGGGGCCCGCACAAGCGGUGGAGCAUGUGGUUUAAUUCGAAGCAACGCGAAGAACCUUACCAGGUCUUGACAUCUUUUGAUCACCUGAGAGAUCAGGUUUCCCCUUCGGGGGCAAAAUGACAGGUGGUGCAUGGUUGUCGUCAGCUCGUGUCGUGAGAUGUUGGGUUAAGUCCCGCAACGAGCGCAACCCUUAUGACUAGUUGCCAGCAUUUAGUUGGGCACUCUAGUAAGACUGCCGGUGACAAACCGGAGGAAGGUGGGGAUGACGUCAAAUCAUCAUGCCCCUUAUGACCUGGGCUACACACGUGCUACAAUGGAUGGUACAACGAGUUGCGAGACCGCGAGGUCAAGCUAAUCUCUUAAAGCCAUUCUCAGUUCGGACUGUAGGCUGCAACUCGCCUACACGAAGUCGGAAUCGCUAGUAAUCGCGGAUCAGCACGCCGCGGUGAAUACGUUCCCGGGCCUUGUACACACCGCCCGUCACACCAUGAGAGUUUGUAACACCCGAAGCCGGUGGCGUAACCCUUUUAGGGAGCGAGCCGUUUUAAGGGG
rnacentral:rRNA from 1 species